rnacentral:misc_RNA from 1 species
GGAAACAUCGAGAUGUUGAACCUUAUUCUUUCCAAAGGUGUUGAUGUAGAUGCACAAAGUGAUGCUGGCACUCCAUUAGUUUGGGCUGCUGGUCAUGGACAACCGGAUGCAGUGAAAGUUUUAUUAGAACACCAUGCUAAUCCAAAUGCGGAAACUGAUGAUGGCAUUACUCCAUUGUUGUCAGCUGUGGCUGCUGGAUCAGUGCCGUGCUUGGAACUGCUGAUUCAGGCAGGAGCUAAUCCAAAUGUUACUGCUAGCGG